rnacentral:rRNA from 1 species
CAUGUCCUUUUGAAUAUAAUUUAAGGUCUAAUCUGCUCAAUGAGGAGUUAAAUUGCCGCGGUAUUUUGACCGUGCAAAGGUAGCAUAAUAAUUAGUUUUUUUAUUGAAAGCUGGAAUGAAUGAUUGGACGAGAAAAUUUCUGUCUCUUUUUGAACUAUUAUUUAAUUUAACUUUUAAGUUAAAAGGCUUAAAUUUGUAUUAAAGACGAGAAGACCCUAUAGAGUUUAAUAAUUAUUUAAUUUUUGAUUAUUUAGUAUUUUUUAAUUUUUAAUUUGUUAAUUAUUUGGUUGGGGUGACUGGAAGAUUAAUUAAACUCUUCUAAUAAUUUUUAAAUCAUUUAUUUUUGAAUAGUUUAUCUAUUUUUAAUAAAUUUAAGAUAAAUUACCUUAGGGAUAACAGCGUAAUUUCUCCUUAGAGUUCUUAUUAAUGGAGGAGUUUGCGACCUCGAUGUUGGAUUAAAAUUUAUUUUUGGUGCAGAAGCUAGAAUAUUGAGUCUGUUCGACUCUUGAAAUUUUACAUGAUCUGAGU